rnacentral:rRNA from 1 species
GACGAACGCUGGCGGCGUGCCUAACACAUGCAAGUCGAGCGGAGUCGAUCGACGGAAGCCUUCGGGCGGAAGAUGGUUGACUUAGCGGCGGAUGGGUGAGUAACGCGUGGGCAACCUGCCUCGAAGACCGGGAUAACAGCCCGAAAGGGCUGCUAAUACCGGAUGUGGUCAAGGAUCCGCAUGGAUUUUUGAUUAAAGGGGAAACCCGUUUCGAGAUGGGCCCGCGUCCUAUCAGCUAGUUGGUGAGGUAAAAGCUCACCAAGGCGACGACGGGUAGCCGGCCUGAGAGGGUGACCGGCCACACUGGAACUGAGACACGGUCCAGACUCCUACGGGGGGCAGCAGUGGGGAAUCUUCCACAAUGGGCGAAAGCCUGAUGGAGCGACGCCGCGUGAGCGAAGAAGGCCUCGGUUGUAAGCUCUGUCUGGAGGGACGGAAGGAAGUGACGGUACCUCCGGAGGAAGCCACGGCUAACUACGUG